AUUGAACGCUAGCGGGAUGCUUUACACAUGCAAGUCGAACGGCAGCGCGGACUUCGGUCUGGCGGCGAGUGGCGAACGGGUGAGUAAUGUAUCGGAACGUGCCCAGUAGCGGGGGAUAACUACGCGAAAGCGUAGCUAAUACCGCAUACGCUCUACGGGGGAAAGCAGGGGCUCGUAAGACCUUGCACUAUUGGAGCGGCCGAUAUCGGAUUAGCUAGUUGGUGAGUUAACGGCUCACCAAGGCGACGAUCCGUAGCUGGUUUGAGAGGACGACCAGCCACACUGGGACUGAGACACGGCCCAGACUCCUACGGGAGGCAGCAGUGGGGAAUUUUGGACAAUGGGGGCAAGCCUGAUCCAGCCAUCCCGCGUGUGCGAUGAAGGCCUUCGGGUUGUAAAGCACUUUUGGCAGGAAAGAAACGUCGCGGGCUAAUACCCCGUGGAACUGACGGUACCUGCAGAAUAAGCACCGGCUAACUACGUG
rnacentral:rRNA from 1 species